UACGUAGGGGGCUAGCGUUGUCCGGAUUUAUUGGGCGUAAAGAGCGUGUAGGCGGCCAGAUAGGUCUGCUGUGAAAACUCGAGGCUCAACCUCGAGCUGUCGGCGGAAACCAUCCGGCUAGAGUCCGGAAGAGGAGAGUGGAAUUCCCGGUGUAGCGGUGAAAUGCGCAGAUAUCGGGAAGAACAUCGGUGGCGAAGGCGGCCUGCUGGGCUGUUGCUGACGCUGAGGCGCGACAGCGUGGGGAGCAAACAGG
rnacentral:rRNA from 1 species